UCUAUUAUAAAAAAAAGUCCUGGGAGAGAGAGACUAGGGAGACGAGACGUGAUCUUCACGUGAAGAUCACGGAAGACACUUAAAAGACCCACGAGAUGAAAGAGAUUGGCCACGGACCCUCUCACGGGGACGUAGAACAUGAGAUUCUUGAAAGACACACCCUACUUACAACCAAUAUCAAAUAAGACCACGGGCAGCAAAACACUCAGUCUUGCAAAAGCUUUGAGUACACACAGAUCCAGGGCUCUCAGCGCAUAUAAAGCGUAUAAGGACAAUACGUUAUAGAUGAAACAUCGACGACUAAGUGAAGAUGAAAGAGCAGCACGGAGAAAA